AUAUAUUGAUGAUAUGAUAAAAUGCACCAAUAAUUGAUUGAGUUUCCAUUGGAUGAUACCUGGAAAGGGAAACUAAUAUUUUGUACAUGAAUUAUUUUACAUGUAAGUUUUGUUUUAGAACAGGACAGGUAAGAUCUUCCAACUUAGCAUACAACUGAUUAUUCACAUCGAAUUUAACACACUACAUUAGCGAAAUGACAUACACAUAGCCGAACAAAACAGUACAAUGACAACAGACAAAUAAAAAUGUACACAAAUUUCUUAAGACGAAUUAUAUUCAUCCGUUAUAGAAAAGUUGUCAGCGGGUUGCGUCAGGUGGAAGCAACGAACACACAUUCAAACAAAACAGAUCAAGAACACAAAUCAAACUAAAUAUACAUACGAUGACAAUGAGGUUGUUUUACAUUGUAUUGUUUCAUCACGUGAAUUACCUGUCAUUUUUCCUUGUACAUCUGUGUUUGUCCUGUCUUGUGUACCUGUUUGUCUUAUGGUAGUUCAUUUGUCGUUGUACAUUACUUGUCUGGUGUGUAUAGAUGAAAUAUCAAAGUUACUAGAGUGGGUGAGUUAAAUGAAUUCCCUGAUCAGUAGUAUGUAACGUAUAUAUAUAUAUCACUCAGGUAUCCAGCUUUUUAAAUUGGCUUUUUUAAAACCAUGCAGUAGUCUAAUGCGCUCUUUAUGUCAACCAAGGUAUGUAUAAUAUUCAAUUGCAUUGUUUUAUUUUUUAUCCAUGAAAAAAUUUCGUAGAAUUGCUUUCGGUGCUUAACGAGAGACAAAUAUUUAACCUGGAGCAAUUUUAUCGAUUGUUAGAAUUAAACAUUGUAUAUCUUAAACAUUAUUAACAAUGCAUUUGUUGCAAGAUUUGUGAUAUAUGAUGAAAGAUAUAUUUCCGAUAUACUGUGUAUUUGCUAGAGUUGUCUUUUUGGUUUAUGUAUGCAGUACUGAUUACUUUUCAUUGACUGCACAAAUACUUUAUCUACAUGUUGUAUCAUCAUAAAAUACUAAAUAAAAAUAAUGUUGUUUUUAUUGAGCCUGUGUUCUGCCGGGCUUUCCGCCGUUUGUACUUCGUAAGGAGACUACAUUAAUCGUGGACCUUUAACAAGAAUACAUUAGAUACCGGGAAUGCCUGUAUCUGAACAUUCAUCACGACUGAGGAGGUACUGAUGUCCUCACGCCGACGGAUGAUAUUGGAACUUUUUGGUGAAUGAUUGGCGUGGAGGGAUAUAGGAUAGUAACCAUUAUAUGUGCACCAGUAAUCUGCGAAUUGUGAAUUACCAGGUAUGAAAUAACAUGCAGUGAUCAAAAUACUGAGUUAAGGGGAGGAUCAAGAACAGUUAAUUUCAACACAGCUUACAGAAGUGGAUUACAUCCAGAGUUGAGAGAGUAACAACAUAAAACUGAAAUCUACAUACAUUGUAUGCAAAGCUUUAUAACUUUCAACGUUUAAAUCCCGAAUUUACAAAGACCAGAGGUUAAAGAUUUUGAUACUUUAAAGAUGUAUUAUGAGUAUAGAUGUCGUGGUAAAUAUUUUAUUUGGAGGCAAGAAAAUGGACGUUCCGUGGGACACUUGAUACAGGAAUGUGUCCUUAUACUUGAUUGGCUGUACGAGCGGGGACAAAGACGAAUUAUGUGUGUCGAUCUAUUAAUAAGCAUAUCUGAAAAUGAGUUUGUUACGGCAAUAAACUUGGCUCAUAUAUGCGUGCGCAUGGAAUCCCGUGCAACUGACAUACAUUCUAGGUAUAGUUUUGAAUGACCAGCGGUAUUUCAUCUGGUUGCCGGUUUGUGGUGAAAAGUAAUGAUGAUAUGAACUUGGUGAGUCAUUUAAAUGAUUUAAAAACUGAUAUAAAAAAAAAGUAGCAAGAAGGUUUUGUCUAAACUGCAGGCGGAGCAUGUGGUGCCUCUAGUCGAAAGCGACAGGAAAGACAACUGUGACGAGGAAUACUUUAGAAUUUUAAAAUCCUCUGAAUUGCUGAUCUCUUGAAAAAUUAGCAUUGAAGGAAUUAUACUUAUGUUUCAAUCAUACCUUUAAAUAUGUUUCAAUACCCCUCAUGCUUUUAGGUACGGUUUACCUAUCAGCAGAUAAUACAGCCUGUAAUUUUAUCCAUACACAUUAAUUACUUGUGAAGACUUGACGCCGUGUCUAAGGAUAUAGCAAGCGUUGAAGAUAGGAGAAACGUCAGAG